CCUACGGGGGGCAGCAGUGGGGGAUAUUGCACAAUGGGGGAAACCCUGAUGCAGCGACGCCGCGUGGGGGAAGAAGGGCCUCGGCGCGUAAAGCCCUGUCAGCAGGGAAGAAAAUGACGGUACCUGAAGAAGAAGCCCCGGCUAACUACGUGCCUGCAGCCGCGGUAAUACGUAGGGGGCAAGCGUGAUCCGGAUUUACUGGGUGUAAAGGGGGCGCAGACGGCGAUGCAAGCCAGGAGUGAAAGCCCGGGGCCCAGCCCCGGGACUGCUCUUGGAACUGCGUGGCUAGAGUGCAGGAGGGGCAGGCGGAAUUCCUGGUGUAGCGGUGAAAUGCGUAGAUAUCAGGAGGAACACCGGUGGCGAAGGCGGCCUGCUGGACUGCAACUGACGUUGAGGCCCGAAAGCGUGGGGAGCAAACAGGAUUAGAUACCCUGGUAGUC
rnacentral:rRNA from 1 species